UACGUAGGGCGCAAGCGUUGUCCGGAAUUAUUGGGCGUAAAGAGCUCUUAGGCGGCUUGUCACGUCGGGUGUGAAAGCCCGGGGCUUAACCCCGGGUCUGCAUUCGAUACGGGCUAGCUAGAGUGUGGUAGGGGAGAUCGGAAUUCCUGGUGUAGCGGUGAAAUGCGCAGAUAUCAGGAGGAACACCGGUGGCGAAGGCGGAUCUCUGGGCCAUUACUGACGCUGAGGAGCGAAAGCGUGGGGAGCGAACAGG
rnacentral:rRNA from 1 species